AUGGAUCACAUGAAGAGGUUCUCCGGCAUGGCGAGGGGCACACCCGCGUCGGCUCUGGUGCGGAAGGACGAAGACGAGAGCCUGGUUCUCUUUGGGGAACUGUACAGGCAUGAUCAGGAGAAGGAGGUGAACCUCCUUGACCCAAUGUACUCCGUGGAGUUUGAAGCCAUCCAAGGUGACCGCCGCAUGUUCAAACUCGCCUCGGGGAAGCGAGAUUACCUACUCACAGAUGGCGAAAAGAACGAUUACGAUUGGCUCAAGACUCCUCCGGCCACCCCGCUGUUCGCUUCCCUUGAGAUGGAAGCUGAUUCCGCCCAAAUGGUUUUCCAGAGGGAGCUGCCUAUCCUUCAACCAGUUAAAACUUCAAGGUUCUCAGGAAAGUUCGAGGCACCCAGCAGCACAUCAGCGAAGUCCGAAUCUCCUACAACGUCCAGCUCCUCGAAGUCUGCCACUCCAACGACGAGACCCAGCUCUUCGUCAGAGAAAAACCUCAGCACCAGAGGAUCCCCUGCCUUCUGCAACCAAGAGUCCCCAUCUUACAAAAUAGACAAGAGAUCAAGCUACACACCUCUGGGAAACAGGCUGCAGAAUGCAGUGGCAGCUCCUACAACAGACACCAAGGCAGCUAAGAAAACCUCGUCAGACAAGAAGACCGUAGCCCCAGGCAGCACAAAGGCAGCCAAGAACAUCGCGGACAAACCUGCGAUGAAGAACGUCACGGCGGCUGCCCCAAGAGCUCGUACCAAGGACCCUUCGGUUGGUGCAAAGGAUCUGAAGGUCGAUGCUGGCAAUGGUGGUGGCACAAGAAGAGUGUCGGUUGGUGCAAAGGAUCUGAAGGUCGAUGCUGGCAAUGGGGGCGCCACAAGAAGAGUGUCGGUCGGUGCAAAGGACCUGAAGGUCGAUGCCGGCAAUGGGGGCGCUGCAAGAAGAGUGCCACGUCAACCGGCUGCAGCAACAGGCAUCGGCAAAGACCCCUCUUCAGUGCCGGCAGCGGCAAGAGGAAGGAGCAGAGGUAACCAUGAGCCAGCUACUGGUAAUGGUGUCGAUGCCGCUGACGGGGCUGCGGUGAAGGGGAGGAGGAGAGCAGGCGGGGAGAAGGAGCAGCAGAGGCAACAAAAGGUUGGAAGCCAUGGAAAGAAGCUGGUUGGGUAG
rnacentral:rRNA from 1 species